rnacentral:rRNA from 1 species
UGCAGCAGGCGCGAAACCUUUACACUGCACGCCAGUGCGAUAAGGGAACCCCGAGUGAAAGGGCAUAUCGCCCUUUCUUUUCUGAACCGUAGGGAGGUUCAGGAACAAGAGCUGGGCAAGACCGGUGCCAGCCGCCGCGGUAAUACCGGCAGCUCAAGUGAUGACCGAUUUUAUUGGGCCUAAAGCGUCCGUAGCUGGCCAUGCAAGUCCGUCGGGAAAUCCACCCGCUUAACGGGUGGGCGUCCGGCGGAAACUGCACGGCUUGGGACAGGAAGGCUCGAGGGGUACGUUCGGGGUAGGAGUGAAAUCCCGUAAUCCUGAACGGACCACCGAUGGCGAAAGCACCUCGAGAGGACUGAUCCGACAGUGAGGGCCGAAAGCGCGGGUCUGC